GUCCUUAACUGACGCUAAAGCUCGAAAGUGCGGGUAUCGAACAGGAUUAGAUACCCUGGUAGUCCGCACGGUAAACGAUGGAUGCCCGCUGUUGGCGAUACAAUGUCAGCGGCCAAGCGAAAGCGUUAAGCAUCCCACCUGGGGAGUACGCCGGCAACGGUGAAACUCAAAGGAAUUGACGGGGGCCCGCACAAGCGGAGGAACAUGUGGUUUAAUUCGAUGAUACGCGAGGAACCUUACCCGGGCUUGAACUGCAGCAGAACGAUUGAGAGAUCAUGAGGUCCUUCGGGACUGCUGUGGAGGUGCUGCAUGGUUGUCGUCAGCUCGUGCCGUGAGGUGUCGGCUUAAGUGCCAUAACGAGCGCAACCCUUUUCCUUAGUUGCCAUCAGGUUAUGCUGGGCACUCUGGGGAUACUGCCACCGUAAGGUGUGAGGAAGGUGGGGAUGACGUCAAAUCAGCACGGCCCGUACGUCCGGGGCUACACACGUGUUACAAUGGGUGGUACAGAGAGUCGGUCGGCGGCAAUGCCGAUCCAAUCCUUAAAGCCAUCCUCAGUUCGGAUUGGGGUCUGCAACCCGACCCCAUGAAGCUGGAUUCGCUA
rnacentral:rRNA from 1 species